rnacentral:sRNA from 1 species
UGCAGAAUCCCGCGAACCAUCGAGUCUUUGAACGCAAGUUGCGCCCGAGGCCAGCCGGCCGAGGGCACGUCCGCCUGGGCGUCAAGCGUUGCAUCGCUCCGUACCAACUCCGUCCCAUCGAUGGGUGGGCCGGCGGAGGCUCGGAUGUGGAGAGUGGCUCGUCGUGCCCCAUCGGUGCGGCGGGCUGAAGAGCGGGUUAUCAUCUCGUUGGCCGCGAACAACAAGAGGUGGAUGGGAGCAAGGCCUACUUUGUUGUAUCGUGCUUGCCAGAGGGAGGAUUACACCCCUCGGGUGAUCCCGAACCAUGCGUCGGUCCACGAGACGACGGCUUGGAAUGCGACCCCAGGAUGGGCGAGGCCACCCGCUGAGUUUAAGCAUAUCAAUAAGCGAGGAGAAGAAACUUACGAGGAUUCCCCUAGUAACGGCGAGCGAACCGGGAUAGGCCCAGCAUGGGAAUCGGGUUGCCACGCAGCGGCUCGA